AGAGUUUGAUCAUGGCUCAGGAUGAACGCUAGCGGCAGGCCUAAUACAUGCAAGACGAGCGGUAAUUCAAAUAGCAAUAUUUGGACUAGAGCGUCGUAAGGGUGCGUAACACGUAUGCAAUCUGCCCGGAACAGGAGGAUAGCUCGGGGAAACUCGAAUUAACACUCCAUAAGACAGUGGUGUGGCAUCACACAGCUGUUAAAUCUACGGAGGUUCCGGAUGAGCAUGCGGAUGAUUAGCUAGUUGGCGGUGUAACGGACCACCAAGGCAAUGAUCAAUAGGGGAACUGAGAGGUUGAUCCCCCACACUGGCACUGAGAUACGGGCCAGACUCCUACGGGAGGCAGCAGUAGGGAAUAUUGGACAAUGGGUGCAAGCCUGAUCCAGCCAUGCCGCGUGCAGGAAGAAGGCUUUCUGAGUUGUAAACUGCUUUUGCCAGGGGAUAAAAUACGGGUGCGCCCGGAAUUGAAGGUACCUGGUGAAUAAGCCACGGCUAACUACGUGCCAGCAGCCGCGGUAAUACGUAGGUGGCAAGCGUUGUCCGGAUUUAUUGGGUUUAAAGGGUGCGUAGGCGGUCUUCUAAGUCAGUUGUGAAAUACUUCAGCUUAACUGGAGAGGUGCAAUUGAUACUGGAAGACUUGAGUACUGAUGAGGUAGGCGGAAUGGACGGUGUAGCGGUGAAAUGCUUAGAUAUCGUCCAGAACACCGAUAGCGAAGGCAGCUUACUAAGGAGUAACUGACGCUUAGGCACGAAAGUGUGGGGAUCAAACAGGAUUAGAUACCCUGGUAGUCCACGCCCUAAACGAUGUCGACUAGGUGUUGGGGAAGGAGACUUCCUUAGUACCGCAGCUAACGCGUGAAGUCGACCGCCUGGGGAGUACGGUCGCAAGAUUAAAACUCAAAGGAAUUGACGGGGACCCGCACAAGCGGUGGAUGAUGUGGAUUAAUUCGAUGCAACGCGAAAAACCUUACCUACCCUUGACAUGUACGGAAGCCCGAUGAGAGUUGGGUGUGCCCGAAAGGGAGCCGUAACACAGGUGCUGCAUGGCUGUCGUCAGCUCGUGUCGUGAGAUGUUGGGUUAAGUCCCGCAACGAGCGCAACCCUUGUCAUUAGUUGCUACAUUCAGUUGGGCACUCUAAUGAGACUGCCGGUGACAAACCGGAGGAAGGUGGGGAUGACGUCAAGUCCUCAUGGCCCUUAUGGGUAGGGCCUCACACGUCAUACAAUGGCGCAUACAGAGGGUUGCCAACCCGCGAGGGGGAGCCAAUCCCAGAAAGUGCGUCGUAGUCCGGAUCGGAGUCUGCAACUCGACUCCGUGAAGUCGGAAUCGCUAGUAAUCGCGGAUCAGCAUGUCGCGGUGAAUACGUUCCCGGGUCUUGUACACACCGCCCGUCACACCAUGGGAGCGGGUCCUACCAGAAGUAGCUAGCCUAACCGCAAGGGGGGCGGUUACCACGGUAGGAUUCGUGACUGGGGUGAAGUCGUAACAAGGUA
rnacentral:rRNA from 1 species